rnacentral:rRNA from 1 species
UACGGAGGGUGCAAGCGUUAAUCGGAAUGACUGGGCGUAAAGCGCACGUAGGCGGUGGUUUUGGUCCGUUGUGAAAGCCCUGGGCUCAACCUGGGAACGGCAAGGGAAACGGAACCACUCGAGUGUAGAAGAGGACCGUGGAAUUCCCGGUGUAGCGGUGAAAUGCGUAGAGAUCGGGAAGAACACCGAUGGCGAAGGCAGCGGUCUGGGUUAACACUGACGCUGAGGGGCGACAGCGUGGGGAGCAAACAGG